GUGCUCGCUCCAGUAGCACACAGACUUGAAUUAGAAUGAUACAGAGAAGAUUCGCAUGGCCCCCGUGCAAGGAUGACACGUAAAUUCGUGAAGUGUUCCAUAUUUUU
ensembl:snRNA U6 U6 spliceosomal RNA